rnacentral:rRNA from 1 species
GGGCGAAAGCCUGAUCCAGCAAUGCCGCGUGUGGGAAGAAGGCCUUCGGGUUGUAAACCACUUUUGUACGGAACGAAAAGGUCUGCCNUAAUACGGUGGGCCCAUGACGGUACCGUAAGAAUAAGCACCGGCUAACUACGUGCCAGCAGCCGCGGUAAUACGUAGGGUGCGAGCGUUAAUCGGAAUUACUGGGCGUAAAGCGUGCGCAGGCGGUUAUAUAAGACAGUUGUGAAAUCCCCGGGCUCAACCUGGGAAUUGCAUCUGUGACUGUAUAGCUAGAGUACGGUAGAGGGGGAUGGAAUUCCGCGUGUAGCAGUGAAAUGCGUAGAUAUGCGGAGGAACACCGAUGGCGAAGGCAAUCCCCUGGACCUGUACUGACGCUCAUGCACGAAAGCGUGGGGAGCAAACAGGAUUAGAUACCCUGGUAGUCCACGCCCUAAACGAUGUCAACUGGUUGUUGGGUGCAUUAGUACUCAGUAACG